UCUAUGGCCAUACCACCCUGAAAGCACCUGAUCUUGUCUGAUCUCAGAAGCUAAGCAGGGCUGGCCCAGUUAGUACUUGGAUGGGAAAAGAUGGAAAACUAAGAGAAUUUGCUGCCAGCAGAU
rnacentral:rRNA from 1 species